rnacentral:sRNA from 1 species
CUAACAGUCCUGGAGACUGAAGUUCCUCUUUAUCCCCAGAACAGGUGCUGCUGGGGCAACCACAUGCAAGCUUCCCUGGCAAUGUGUCUCUCUCCUGCAGCUGUCCCGUCUCUAGAGGUGGGGGAGAGAAUUCAGUCCUUGUUUUGCUUCAGUCUUUGAUCUCU